rnacentral:sRNA from 1 species
GGAUGUGAGGGUGAGCUGGCUGCGUCAUCUGUCACCCCAUUGAUCGCCAGGGUUGAUUCAGCUGAUCUGGCUGGUUAGGCGGGUGUCCCCUUCCUCCCUCACCGCUCCAUGUGCGUCCCUUCUGAAGCUGUUGACUCAGUGGAAGAGGAUGUCCUCCCAGAUAGAAGGAGUACUGUUCUUUGGUCAAGGGUAUACGAUAGCGUACAAACAAGUAGUAAUUUUUUUGGCAUAUUACCGACAUCUAGGUUGAGACUAUUCACCCU